GACGGAGGGGGCAAGCGUUGUCCGGAAUCACUGGGCGUAAAGGGCGCGUAGGCGGCUCGGUAAGUAGGGGGUGAAAUCCUGCGGCUUAACCGCAGGGCUGCCUUCUAAACUGUCGAGCUCGAGCACGGUAGAGGCAGAUGGAAUUCCCGGUGUAGCGGUGGAAUGCGUAGAGAUCGGGAAGAACAUCAGUGGCGAAGGCGGUCUGCUGGGCCGUUGCUGACGCUGAGGCGCGACAGCGUGGGGAGCAAACAGG
rnacentral:rRNA from 1 species